rnacentral:tRNA from 1 species
GCCGGCGUGGCGCAACUGGUCAGCGCACCCGACUUGUAAUCGGGAGGUUAGGGGUUCGAUCCCCCUCGCCGGCU